AUUGUGAUGACAUGGUCGCAGGGAGCAGGCAAGAAUAUGAGCUGUCCCAGUAUGCAUGCAGCCUGUGGAUUGUACAUGCUUGGACUAAAUGGACCAUUUAGAGAGAUGGUCCAUAGGUUACAGAUGUGAAGAAACAGAAAUAAACUGUUUAUCAGAGAGACUAAACAACAAUCUAGUUUUAGUCGUGGUACCUAUGUAUAAAUACACAACCAUCUUCUGAGCAAUACUGCACACAGAUGCUGUACGCACGUUCCUCAGGAUUGUCUUGUACCAACCACUGUGCUUCACUUCUGUGUCUGGAGAGCAACUGACAUAAUGAGCAUGAGCACCCUGUCGACAACUAAGAAAGUCUCCUACUGCAUAUGUGUACUACCAAAGAUGAUGCUUAACAUAGAGAAGAACAUGCAUCAGUAAGUGUAGAAAAGUCACAACUGAGUAAGUAGUUUUCCUGUCCUAUAAACACUUUUUUCCUGAAAAACACCAUAUAAAUUUGUAAGUGCAUGUGAUAACUAACAUUAUCUCACAUUUACUUGAUGCAAUUGUUGCUUUUCACACUUGCUAGAAACAACUACUUUGUUUUGUUGCUAGUAAAACUGUGGGAGCUCUACCUCAGGGACAGAUAAAGUACUGGGUGAAGUUUUGCAGGAAUAAAGGUAUAUUUUGAUUAGUUACAUAGAAAGAUCUAGGUUUGCCCUAGAAAUCAAUGGGAUGUAGCUUGCAUUUUUAUUAGCUUGCUUGCUGGCAACUUCUUCCUGUCUGUAUGGAUAUUCCCCCACAGGCUGUGUUUGAAUUCACAGAAGGCUGUGAAAGGCCUUGAAGAAGCUGCUACUCUGCUGUAAGAGAGCAUUUGUGUAAAUACUCUUGACUGAGGCAGACGUCUAGAUCGGGCCCUGGUUUCCCCUCUAUUUCCACAGCAGAGGAUUUUAAACCAGCAUUCAAAGGAACUUUCUGUCUACGUGAUAGCUCAGCUAUCACAUAUCUAGAACUGCAAAAUUCAAUACUCUGCUUUCCUGUUCAUUCCUUAUUAUGUUGCUGAGAGUAUUAGUUAGCUUUAGUCGUAAAGUGGCUUUAAGGUUGGACUAUGAAAAGACACCAUAAACUGCAUCCAUAUCAGACAGAGCCAGCUUGCAAUUGUUUACAAAAGGGACCUGCUGCUGGCCAGAGCUGAGCCAAUAAGCAAUGCCAGUGGUACCUCUGUAAGAUCAGGUUUAAAGAAAGGUACAAUGUACCGUGUAGCUUUGUGAGAGAAGAGUGAGAAAAAUGUGAUAGAAACAGCCCCACAGACACAAAGGUCAGUGAAGAACUGGGAAGAGGGUUGGAGCACAGAUUCCUCUACAGAAUACCAAGGUAAAGCAGAUUGUCCCUUGGUAUCUCAUGGAAGAGUACCUGGAGGAGCAGGUGGUUGUGUCCUUAAGGAAACUGCAGUCCAUGAGGAACCCACACAGGGGAAAGUUUUCUGUCAGGAACUGAAUGUCCCAUGAGGUCCACACCAGCGCAGUCUGUUCCUGGUGAAACGUAACUUGUGGAAACAACAAAUGCUGGAGCAGUUCAUAAGGAAUUGCAUCCAAUGGGAGAGACUACAAGCCCCAUUUUCCAUUGCCCAUGCCACUCAGAGGACAAGGAAGUAGAUCAGUAGGGAAUGAAAGAAUGAAGUUGAACCAUCAAAUAAGGGGGCUAUGGGAAAGGUGUUUUGGUUGUGAUUGUUUGUUGUUUAUCUCAAUAUCCUAAAAAUAGAUUUAAUUGGUAAAUUAAUUUUUUAUUCCCUAAGUUGAAUCUGUUUUGCUCUUCACAAUAAUUGGCGAGUGAUCUCCGUGUUCUUACUUCCUGGAGAAAACAGAAUGGGGAUCUUAUCAACACUUAUAAAUAUCUUAAAAGGCAGCUGUCAAGUGCAUGGGGCAGGCUCUUUUCAGUGGUGCCCAGCAACAGAAUAAGGGGCAACAAACAGAAACUGGAACACAGGAAGUUUCAUCUGAACAUGAGGAAAAACUUCUUUACUGUGAAGAUUACAAAGCACUGGAACAGACUGCCCAGAGAGGUUGCAGACUUGCUUCUGGAGAUAUUCAAAACCCACCUGAAUGCUUUCCUCUGCAACACGUUGUGGGGAACCUGCUUUAGCAGGGUGUUGGACUAGGUAAUCUCCAGAGGUCUUUUCCAGCCCCUACCAUUCUGUGAUUCUGUAAUUUGACCAAUGAGAUUAUUUGUUCUGUCUGUCCUACUGAAGAGGGGGAGGGAGUGAGCACCUGGCUCCAUGCCAUGGCUAACUCAACACACUGAAGCAGAAUUAUAAUGGCAGGUGCACUCUUUUAUUAAACAGUUACUUAUUUUUGUACAAAAAUAUGAUGCACUUGCAUUGUACUUCCACUAUAGCCUAAAGGUACUAAUUUGCAUUUAUAUAUUCUGGAAAAAAAAAAAAUUGAUAACUGAUUGUAUUGUCUGACUGUAACCGAAUUGAAAUUCUUGAUCAGUGAGAGGAUUACUUUAUUUUCUGAAGUUUCUGCUUGAUUUUUUUUUUUGCAAUGUAGAAAUCUCUCAUCUCUAAUUGAUGUCUGAUUUCUUUUCUAUAAAUGUCUUCUGCUCAAAAGUCUUCAUUGCAGGCUUUCUGUAAAUUGUGUGCAUUGAUUGUGAAGUUCUUGUCCUUAUUUCCAAAGCCCUGAGUGGCUAUGGUAUUGGACUAAUUUUCUCUUCUGCAUUUUCUAAGCUGUUAAUUACAGUCUGAAUCAUAAGGUUACUUUUUUUUCUGUACUGUAAUUUGGUGAGCUGUGAGUCAUGAAGUUUUUGUAGCUCUGUCCUUUCAACGAUAUUGCAGGAUCCUUUCCUGCUGCCCACUUGGUGUCCUUAUUUAAAAAUAACAUUGAAGAAAGAAGCUUUUGCUUCUACUUUUAACUUGCUAGUUAGUUGUACUUGUUCAGUGCUUCAAGACUUUUUUUUUUGUUAAGGAUAAUAUGCUAGGUUAGUGAGUUCCCCAAGGUACUAGCUGAAAUACAAAUGGUUAUUAAUAAUAUGUAUGUAGUAAUAAACUGAAAAUGGCUCACUAAAAUGUUUUCUGGGCAGAUUUUCAGGUAGAAUAUUGUGCAGUAAAAUAACAAUUCCUUUUAUUUACGGUUAUUACUGUGAUUUUACUAGUAUAUUUUUAUACAAUUAAUGCAAAGUAAAUGACAUGUGUAUGUGAAGGAAAUUGAUUCCUCAUAGCCUAUGCACUUAUCUCUCUUUGACUGCAAAAUUGGGUUUGAUUAUUGUGUUUAAGAUAAGAAAAUGUUGUUUGUUUGUUUUCUUUUUAAAGUCAUAUCUCAUUGACAUAUCCAAAUAUUUAAAAUUUUGUCAUUACUUUUUACUCAGAAAAAUAUUGGAAUAUUUCCCAUUGCUAGAGAGUCAUUCAGACAAAUGUGAGAGUUUUGAGUAGCAAUUGCCACAGAUAGCUGAGUUCCAUGUAUUUGAUUUUUUCCCCCACUAGAAGAGGAAAUAUGAUUGAUUACUACUAGAGAAUGAAGCAGAGGGACUGGCUGAUUUAUGUGAAAGACUUCUGAUUAAAAAUACACAUAAACCUAAAACUCCUCAAAAUAGAUUUCAUAACUCAUAAUUCAAAUUACCCUUUUCUUCUAAGACUGACAGAAAAAAAUAUUUGAUUUUAACCACUUGGGAGGAGAAUUCUUUUGUGGAGUUUUCUUCUUUAAUUUUUUAUAUUUCUAUUCUGUAUGUUCUCAAGCCAUGUAUUAGUUGUAGGAACAGUGAACUAUUGUUAUAGAAUUCCUCAUGUUGGAAAAGACAUUUAAGGUUAUAUUAAACAAACAAAGCAAAACAAUUAAUGAUGUGAGACUCAUGAAAAAUGUGAUAAUUGGCAGCAGUGGAACACAGAAACCAGGACACAUACAUUUCUAUCGUGUCAUAAUAGUCCCCUGCACCCUUCUUUCAUUAUUUUAAGCCUCAGCGUAGGAACCCUCAUAUUUCACUUGACUAACAUUUUCUUCUCUAAAAGAUGUUUCUGUUCCUCUUGAACAGCUUUGACAUUUCCAUUAUUAGCAACAGGCCUCUGCAACUGGUGAAGUGAGAUGCUGGGGGCUAGAGGUGGACUGUGCUUCUUUCGCAGGAAGUUCUGCUGGGUUUGUCUAGGGGCAGAGGCAUAUAAACGAUUCAUCAGAGGUUAAAAAGGUUGCUUGGGUCAGCUGACCCACAGUAAAUAUGCAUCUUAGCUCAGGGCAAAAGUAAAAUAGUUCGACUUUCUUUAAGGAAAGCAAACUUGGUAAACCAUACGUACUUGUAUGGAUACACCACACACUGGCCAACAAUUUGUGUGGACUACUGCACAUGUUUGAAUUGUUCAGCUGUGUAAAAUCAUUUGUCUGUUUGGAUUUUCUGUCUUGCAUUUUCCUCCCAAAGGGACCGUGUGUAGAAACCCUCCAAGGAGCUAUUUCUGUGCUCUGAUUUAUAUUGCAUAAUUAUACACAAUGUUGGGAAUAUUUGAUAGCUGCUGGAACAGCUCUGUUGAUCUGAGUACAUGAGUCUCACUUCUGGCAGCAGUGCCUCCUCUGUACCAGUGACUCUUCUCACAUGGCAGCUCUGCCCAUCUUGUAGUAUCACACUUCUGCUCCUGCCAACUGGCAUGAAUGGUCUUGUGUCUCAUGCUGAAUACUUAGCACUCAGACCCUUCGUGUGCACAUAGUAGAUAUUGGGGCUAAAAUCUGUGAAGAUGAUAUUCUUAUGGCUGCAUGGUUUUCUUUCAACUGUUUCAGUCUCCCUUUUGAAACUACAUUUUUGCAGCUCUCAUUCUAUUUGUUUCUUAUGUGAAAUUCAAAAGAAGUUAUCUUGGGGCCUCAGUUGCCUACACAUCACCUUGUUUAGUUUCAGAAAUGUUCUCUCUUUCAAAAAAAUAAUUUAUGAUUCAAAAGGUGGCUUCUUAGUCAAAGGUCACACUACUCUGUCCAAAAAAAAAAAAAAAAAAAAAAAAUCUAUAGGUUACAGUGUCUGGAAUCAAUCACUGAAGAAUCCAAGAAUCCAUCUCUCUUUGCAUGGCCAAACUGAUCUCUCUUUUGUUGGUUUAGCAGCACGUGGAGUCUAAUAUAUAUAAUAUAUAUCUUCCCAGUUUGGGAGCUCAAUCUUGCACAGUUUGGGCUGUCAGAAUCUGUUGUGUGAAGAUGUCAUAUACCUUACUUGUGGGAGAGUAUUGUAUGUAUUUGAGAAUUGCUGGAAAUUUACAUCCCUCAGAAAAAGAAAUCUGCUGCUUGAGGAACUUGGGAAGAAGGCAGAGGAAAGGAAUAUCUCUGGUAACGUUCUCUGGAAAGAUCAUAAUACUCUACGCAGGAGCAAUGAGAGAGGCAAGGUAAAGCAGAGUUUCUAUACCUGAGAAGAUGAUAUAAGAAAACAAGCUGCAGGUUCACCCAGGGGCAGCCCUUAGCUCUGGUAUAAGGAGAAACUGUAUGGUUUUCACCAGAGCCUAAAGGAAACCAUGUAUCCAAAAAAGGAACAAAUUGGUUCUAUGCAGGACAGAAAACCUUUGGAGUCAAUAGCAGGCAGCAUGAAUGUCUAGCUGUAAAUGUAGACACUGAUUUAUCAGAGAUAUAGUGGAAAGAAGAGAGUUAGCAGGGUACUUUACUAACAGGAAAGAAAACAUAUAUGAAAGGUGAACAGAGAUGUAUUUCAUGUUAGAGACACUUGACAAUCUAGCUGCAUUAAUGCCUCAGUGCACAGCACAAAAUUCAAGCUAGAGUUAAAUCCUACUUUCAGCACAAAAGGAGCAAAAAUCCUUCCAGAGAUCAUGUCAGCUGAGGACCUAACUAAAGAAAAGAGUACUUGGAGAGGUCGCUGUAGUUAUAUUAAAACAAUUUUGCUGGUCUCUGUUUCAGGUAGGAAAAUGGAAAGUCUUCUGUACCAGAACCUUUACUAGAAUCUUUUUUUUUUUUUUUUUUUUUUUUUUUUUUUAGAGAAGAAAAAGGAUCAAUAACAAUCUUCUACAGAAAAUGUGUUAGUAGUUGUUCACAAACAUGGAAAAUUGUGUCUAAAAAUCAUCAGGAUUGGAUGGUAUUCAGCCAAGAACUUUAAGGCAACUUGAGGACAAAACAUCUAAAUUACUGGCUACAUAUAGUUAAUGGCAAGGAUAAAUAACUGUGUGCAACCUUUUGCCUAAGUAUUCUUUGAAAGCAGGUUUCUAGAGGGUGGUAAGUAUAAUUCUAAUUUGGAAACUUCAGGCCUGCAAGCCUAAUGUCUGUAUAGUAGAAGACAAUUCAUGGAUACCUGAGUAAACAUAAGCUGCUUUGGUAAAGUCUUCUGAAAAGUAAGGAUCAUCUUUAGAACUUCUAAUAUUUUUUUUCAGGAAGUCAAUGAGCUUGUAGCUAGUGAUGAUCUGUUUGACAUGAUUUUGGUUUUUGAAAAAAAGCUUUGACAAAUUCCUAACGUUAAGCUUGUAAUGUACUUAAGUGGCCAUGGCACAGGAGGGGAAAAAAUUGGCAUAGAUUAGGAAGAAAGUGAAAAAUAGUAAACAGAUUUUUUUAAUAGUGUUUUUGUUUGUUUUGUUAGAUAAAAAUUGCUGGUGGUGGGAGGGCUCUGUGCUAGGGUAAAUGUAUUCACAGAUCACUAGAAAAGUAAGUUAGCAGUAAAAUGACAAAAUGUGAUGAUGGUACUAGGUUUUUCAGGGUAGGUAGGAUGAGAACUGGAACUGAAAAAUUGCCAGAAGAUAUUAGGAAACAGCAUGACUGGACAACAAAAUGGCAGGUCAAAUGCAUUGUAGAUCUAUAUUAAUGCACACCCAGAGAACGAACUCUGUCUUCAUAGGGAAAGACUCUGUGCUGGUCACCAUUACUAGGGAGUGAUACCUGAGAUCUCUGCUAAAAAGAAUUUUCUGACUAGUAUUUAUCUUCGUUAUGUAUUCCCAAAAGAUGUUGCAGAGAUGCAAAACUUUGUGUAGCCUCAAAGGAGUGAUUGAACAAAUACUUAGAAUGAAUGUUUAUUGUUGAUUACUAAACAGACAAACUGCAACAUGCUCAGGAAAUCUCCUGAACCAUAACUGAUCAGAGGACAGGAAAGCAACAGACCAAAAAUUACAAAGAUUUGCUCUGUUGUUACUCUUCUCUAAAAGAGUAGUUAUUCUGUAGUAUUCUUGCUCAUAGCUACUAUCAGAGAUGAAAUAGUCUAGACAGACCCUUGUUUUCAUCCUGUAGGGCUACUCUUUUUAUGUGUUUGUUGUUGUUGUUUGUUUUGUUUUGUUUUGUUUUUAACUUUUGGAAGAUUCUUAGAGUACAUCAAGACAUUGAUGUAACAAUGACAUAGAGACACAAGACAUCUUUACCUUGUCCUGCUGUUUUGGCCCUAGAUGAAGAGAUUAUAGCACACAUUAGUGCCAUACUCUCCCAUGCUUGCCAUACUAACAGUUACUUGCACAAACAAGUGGAUGGCACAGAGCUGCCCACAUCAAAUCUGUGCUGCUUUGGAUCUCUCAGAGUUGAUAAAUGCUCGUGGGUAGGUCAUUUCCAAAUAGUACUGGCUGUUUGAUUUUCAUAUUUUGAUUUUCGUAUUUUAUAUGAAAAGUCAGAUAUGUACUCUUAUUUAUAAGCCUCUUGUAUUAAAAUUCAUUUUUAUUUUUCCCACCAACUUUCAGAAGAGAAAGUCUUGAUGCCAAUAGCUCAAAUAUCUGAAAAUCAGGAAAAAUUAGAAAAAGUAGUAGCUGGUUUCUGAAAGCUAUGGGAUUCCAUAUUUAGACUUUUCUUUGUGUGUGUGAAUCUGGUUUCUACCUUAAUUCUAGGGUGGAUAUUACACUUCGUAAAAAAAAAAAAAAAAAAAAAAAAAAGCAGGUACGUUUUUUUCACUGUUUAUUUGAGCUCCAAGGUAAUAAUCUAUAUUAACUGUUUUAUACCUUUGAGUCAGGAAGGCACUCUAUGGUUGACUGUUAUUGAGAUCUUUCAGAUAAGCUGUACAUUUGCACUCAUUAUAAAUUAUUUCACAAGGAGAAUGAGAUCAGGUUUGAAACAGAAUUUCUUACAACCACAUAAUAACUUAUCAGUCUUAUUGACAAGCAUUUUGCAAAACAAUAGUAUUGUGCACAGCUUAUGUAUGAGCAAAUAGAAUUACUGCUAACAUCUUUUAAGGCACUUGUCACACACUUUCCCCUCAGUCAAACACUGUUAGCUCACUAAUCAAUCUGCUUGUCAAAAAUGCUCUUCUUUGGCAGAAGAGACUGAGAAGUUUGACAAACUGCAUUAAGUUGGUGAUGUUGAUUAAUGCUUUUCAGUUAGUAGCAUUUUGUUGAACACUAUAAAUUAAGAAUUUUGAUGACAGCUGGCUUUUCAUAAAUUACAUACAAGAGGAGCUUAUCAUUGCAAUGAAGCAAUUUAUUUUUCCUUUCCAAGAUUUCUUAUGACUGCUUCAUGUGAGUUUCUGUUGCGUAAAUUCUUUAUUUCUUUUCUUUCAACUGUUAAAAUGUAAAUAGCACACUUUGAACUCAGUAAUCCUUGGUGAAAAAGAAAGAAAGAAGAGAAAGAAGCUUGAUUCUGAAGCUGCUGAUUUUUCUUGAUUUUUUUUCAAAGCCAAAGAACUGUAAGGACAAAACUGAAGAGGUAUAAGCCUUUUCAGUAUUUUUGCAUAUCUCAAAUGUUUGUCAUUUUCUGUAAGAGAUUUGCUAAUGCAAGGAACUCACAUACAAGCAAUAGUCCACAGAAGUUUCUUUAGUGAUUAUUCUAUUAAAUUUAGGAGUUUUUAUUGCUUUUGACUUCAUUCAUUUUUUUUUAUCCAGUACCUGAUUUAGUAGUGCCCUGUGGCAGAGGAUUGGAAUUACAUGAUCUCUUACAACCCAAGUCAGCCUUCUUCUACCACUUUCUCUCUGCCGUAUGAUGUGUGAGAGAUGGGGAAUGGGUGCUAUGGUCAGUCCUUACAAGUUCCUCUCUGCUGCUCCUUCCUCCUUAUGCUUUUCCCCAGCUCCAGCAUGGACUUUCAUGGGCUACAAUCCCUCAGAAUAAAUCUGCUUCAGUGUGGCUCCUUCCCACAGGCUGCAGUCCUUCAGGCUAAAUAUGCUCCGUAGUGGGCUGUCUAUGGGCUUUUACUUUCUUUGGAAAAUAUUCACCUGUUCUGGCAUGAGAUUCUCUAUGGGCUGUAGUAUUGAUAUCUGCUCGAUUUAGGGUUUUCUCCUUGGUCUGCAGGGAAAUAAUCUUUAUUUAAAUUUUCUUUAAAUUGCUUUUAUGCUGAUCAAAUUAGGUGAGAACCUGACGUUUUGUUUUUUUUAACAGAAAAACAAACUACUGGUUUCUGUGUGGCUUCAUUCGCAGUCACAGAAAGUGAGUGAUAGUUUAUCUAACUGAAACUACAGGAGGAUUUUAAUUAAGCAGAAUGUAAUGAUUAGAAUUGCAAUUUUGAAAGAAAACUGGGGCUACCACUCCCAACUAAGCAUGUGUUUUGACUAAUGUUAAAAGCUUUGUUUUUCUAACUCAUAUAGAUUUUAAGACAAUUCACUUAUAAAAGGAGAAAGGAGACAAGAAAGAAAGAAAGGCAGUGGGAUGCCAGUGCUUCCUUAGUUUUCCUGAACUCACCCAUGCAGUGGUUUUCCUCCUAAGUACUAAUGAAACCAGAUACUGCUUUACUUCCAAAUGGAACAAUACAAUUAGAAGCCACAUCCAUAAUAGCUUUUGAAACUAUUUUGUUAAUCAGGCACUUCUGCUGCUGAGUCAGCAUGGUAUGCUCACUGUAAAUUCACCACUUACAUAUCCUGAGCAAUGUUUUUAACUUCAGUGUUCAGACUCUGGAAAAGGCUACGGGUGACAGUUCUUCCAUGAAGAAAUGUUUAUGCUGUUGAUAUUUAUUGCUACUUUCUUGUCUUUUCCUUUCUUUUCUUUUUUUUCUCUAGUUGUUAAAUUGUUUUUUUGUUGUUGUUGUUGUUGGUAAAUAUUAUUAUUUGGGAUUUGUAUCUUUAUAUGGAGGAAUGAAAAAAUAAUUAUUUGCUGUGGCAUUUUUAGAAGUAAAUUGAACAUCCUACUGGGAAUAAUGCAAUGUUUUUACUCUAUGCAUUUUGUCACCCUACUAUUUGGAUUUACUUUCAUUCCCACACAGUGUUCCUGGAAUCCCCAAGCAAAAUCUCUAAUGUGUUAGCAUGCUGACCUUUGCUUUGGUUGUAGGCGCAAAUGUUAAUAGAAACAGAAAAAGAGAAGUAAUCGCUUUUAUUUCUCACUCUCUUGUUCAACAAACUAGCAUUUAUAGAAAGAAGAUAUUGUUCAGUUACUAAGUCAACUUGAACACUGAUUUUCCUGAUGUCUGUCAUCUAGGCUACUAACUUUUUAAAGAUGCUUCAUUAGAGAUACUAGACAGGUACCAUUUUCUUAUUUCACAUUGACUAGUUCACAGUAAUGGCUGUGAAGCUAGAUUAAACCCAGCAUUUUAUAGGUAAAAAUCUGGUUUACAGUCAUUAGUUAUAUUACCUCCAGUUCCCUGGAAUUCUGUAGUACUCUCCAACUGCUUUUCAAGUGUAGGGUAAAAUGAAAGGGAAUUAAGAGCAAAUGAUACAUGUAAUUAAGGCCCCAUUGUGAUUACUAUUUUAAUUCUGUGAUGGGGGAAAAUAAUGUAGAUAGCCAAGUCUGAAAAUUAGGUUAUUAAGCUUUCUGUUUAGUUUAGAUUUUUCUCUUUAUUUUUAAUUUAGCUACAAAAAUGUUAUUGUUCUGUUUCUAUUAUUGCCAUUGUUUUUAACUUUCUUCCUUAAUUCAUUCUUAUCCUUCUAAUCUGCCCUAGAGGUGUACCAUUCAUGAUUUUUAUAUUCUGAAAACUACAAAUUGCUGUAAUUUCCUUCACAGUGCUACAUAUUACCCUAGUGAAGUAACCCAAGCUGAGUGCAUUGCUGUAAAGGGUUUUCUUUGAUUUUUUUCUGUGCUCUUUUUAGAGACUUGGCACUGAAGUGGGGAACCAUUCUAAAAAAAAACAAAAAUAAAACCAACUAACCAAACAAAAAAAACCUACAUGGACUACAUGGACCUUGUUUUGAUACCAAGAAUGGCAUUAAUCUUUAUGCAGAUAUAAAUGGAAGUUAGCCAGCAUAUUUCAAUAUACUCUAUGGUUUUGAACUGACGUGGUGUUAGAAACUGAAAUAUAUGACCUAAAGGAUAUUUUUUCAAAACAAGCAGAAGGCCAACAUUUAUGCUAUUCCUGACUACUUGAGACCACCAAAUCCCAUACAGUUAGUCAUGAAUUAGGUGUUCUCUACAGUCUCUGUAGUCUCUCAACAUGAGAGACAAAGAUGGUAAGGCUUCAGCCUUUUCUAGCAGGUCUUCCAUUGUAUUUUUUUAAUGAGUUUGUUUGAAAACAGGAUGAACAGAGUGGAUGAGUUCAGAAAGGGAUAAGAGUAGUGCAUGUCAAAAUGCCUGAGUUUUAUAUGUCAAAGAAUAAAAGAAAGGAAACUUAGGGACAAACCAAGAAAGAAGAUAUAAGAAUUUUAGGUCUAGUAAAGAAAGCAGUGGAGAGAGCUAAACAUAUUUGACCUGGGUGUUGCAGAAGCCCUGUCUCAUUUUGGAAGAGAGCUGAGAGUGAUACAAUACACAAGAAACCUACUGAAACAUUUAAAAUUAGCUAUGAUGAAGAUACUUCUGAAGGCAUCGGUACUAAUGUGCUUGAAUUUCAGAGGCUAUUCUAUAGAGUCUGUCCUAGUUUCAGCUGGGAUGGAAUUGCUUUCUUCAGAGUACUUGGUAUGAUGCUACGUUUUGGUUUUAGGAGAAAAACAGUGUUGAUAACACACUGAUGUUUACUGUUUUUGCUAAGCGGCGCUUAGCUGAGCCGAGACCAUUCACAGCUAAAGGAGGCCCAAGGAGCUGUGAGGGAACAGAAUUAAGACAGCUGACUUAAACUGGUCAAAUGGAUGUUCCAUGCCAUAUGGCAUCAUGCAGAAGGAGUUUUGAAAAGAGUUAGGGUUCUCUUUUCCACUGCUUGGGGGCCUGGUUGGUCAUUGGUUGGGGGGUGGGGAACAAUUCCUUGUGUAACAAUUGUUACAUACAUUCAUAUAUAUAUAUAUAUUUGUUGCAACUAUAAUCCUUUUCUUCUUCUCUAUUUUAGUAAAUAAAAGUUCUACCUUUUUUUUUUUUUUUUUUUUUUUUUUUUCCUGAUUCUCUCCCUUAUCCCACUGGGAAGCUGGGGAGUGAGCAAACGACUGUGUGGUGCUCAUCCACCUGCUGAGUUAAACCACAGUAGAGUCGUUGGCUUUUAACUGUUUUAUGCUAUAGUAGUCUUAAUGAUAUGAUGCAUUCCCUGAGCAGGCAGAAUUUCAUUCAUCUGAGGAGAGCUCCUUGGGAUGUCUCUGAGGUAUUUCAAGGAAGUACUAAUGUUGAAAUGUUGGAUGUGUUCAUUCUGCAUUAUGAUGAAUUUAAUUUUAGUGAACACAGAGGCCUCUGCCCUGUUAAUUUAUAUAUAAAUACAGAAAUUAUAGAAGGGCCCAGAGGAACACAGUGCCACUAAUGCAGAAGUGUGUUAGAUAUUUAAAAUAUGUGCUUCAAUUCCUGCCAGCUGGCCUUUGCACACUAUGUGCACCAAAUAACCCAGUAGCUGUCCCUGUGGAACAUAAUUUCUAAUUUUAAGUUUUAUUGAUUAUUCUUUUGGAACCUGUUACGUAAUUUCUCUAUAGACCCAGACUCCAUAAAAGAAGUCUAUGCAUUCAUUAAUACUCCAAAAAUAUGUAUCAGACACUUUCAUGUUAUACUAAGCCCAAAUGCAGUUUAUGUAAAAGCAUACAUUUAAAACCAAAACUGCGAAAACAUGUAUUCUACUGGAGUACCUACAUUAUUCCUUGAUUGGACAUAUCCUUUAAAUAAGACUUUCCCCCUUUCAUUUAAACUGAAUUCUCAGAGAAUCCAGAAUGAGAUAAAAUAUACUCAGUAAUAAAAAUAAUCAUUCAAGUGUUGAUGCAUGUCAGGAUUCUAUUAUGAUGAGUUAUUAAGGUAUCUUAAUAUGCAGGAUGAGAUUAGUGACUUCAUUCACAAUUGAAUUUUUAGUUGUUGAGGUCAAUAUUGUUAUAUAUGUUGGUUUGGCUUAUUUUCAAGCUUUCGAGUAUGAGAGGAAAUAAUUUUUUCCUAUUUAAAAAAUAAACCUUCCUUCCUUGAUAAUGGAAGGAAGCUUGUAGGCUGAAGAAAUUUCUAGAUGUACCACACAUUAUCUUUUUUUUUUCCAUAAAAAAAAAAAAUAUAAUUUCUCACUGAAACAAUUUAAAGGUCUGAAGAUGUAACUUUCAGAUCAAAUAAAUGUCUCAUAGCAAUUUCCCAAUUUAAUAUGAAAUGGAAAAGUGACCUCCAAGGUUAAAGGAGUAUAUGUAUGGGGUGUUAUAUGGCUCUUAGAAACAGCCAAAAAUCCUCCCAGGAAACAGAUUCCAGAGAAUGCCACAGUCAUUAACUUAGGUAAGAGCUCAAUCCAGAUAGUUUAAGUAGUUUAAUGAGGCCAAAGGGAUUAGAUAACAGAAGUUAUUUUAGUAUUACCAAUCAUCUGUAACUAAAGGUUUCCUCAGAAAAGCUUUAUUGCGUAGGAAAAGGCAGGCCAACAGGUAGGUUAUAUCUCUCUGAAGAAAUCAUGGUGAUAGGAGGAGAAAGAUUCAUCAUGAAUUAUUAUGGUGGUUAAACCAAAUUCUCUCUUUUGACUGCAUACAAAUUAGACAUUUCCAUGGUUUCAAUGGUCCUUUAAGUCCUUAAUAAAUGUUAACAUAAUAAUGAGAUUACAAGUAUGAUUUUAAAAACUGAGUUUUUCCCUUACACUGUUCCAAGUUUUUUGGAGAUGGAUUCAAAUAUUUUGUAUAUUGCCUGUACCCUAAAAUAUCACUUCGAGACUUCAUGCUGUCGUCCACAUUUUAAAAGCAAGGAGUUAUAAUGACAGAUCACUUCCAACUCCUACAGGUUUUGAUUUAAUUUAGACUAAUUUUAUUUGCAAGAACCUGUAAACUCCUAUCCAUUUGUGCAAAUCUGACCGUUUGGCUUAUUUGUGUGUCCAUAUUUUCCUCAGAUUCUGAGCAACAUGCUGCAAGAGUUAUAUUUUGGCAUACAGGAAUUUUAGAUUUGGGGAAAACAUACAACUUCUUAGCAUUGCAUUCACCACAUUCUUUUCUCUACUGCACUUUUGAAGUUAAAAAUAUAUGAAUGAAGUUUUGUAUUUUUUUUCCCUUCUCUCCCUCUUUUCCCUAUGGCAGAUGUGUUAAUCUACCUGUGGAAUCAGAAGUAAAUUUUACAGCAUUUUUCUGAAGGUUCCUCUUGAAGAAGUCUUGUACAGGAGACUAAAGCUUCCACAGGAAGGAUCAUGAAUUUGUUACGUGGUAAUGGAAAUUAUUAUACAUGCUGCAUGGUGAUAUAGAUGUGAAAUGGGUAUUGUGUUAUUUUCUGAAGUCUUAGUGUUUUCCUUCUGUUCCAGUUCUUAGUGAUCCAUUUUGCUCAUCUAGUAGAGCAGUACAGCAUUUAUUAUCUACAUACAAAAGAAGAUGUAGAUUUAGAACUUUAUUCUGUCAAGCAAUUACUACUUUUAUGUUAAAUAGAGCUGUGCAGAAAUAAUGAAUGCUUUUAAAGUGUUAUUAUGGAAGCCCAGUUUGAUAAUGGAAAAGCUGAUUCAGGAUAGUUCAGAUUUGGAAGUCAGUUUGGGUAUGUCUUAUGGUAUGCAUGCAACAGGAGCAUCAGAGUUCUUCCUCCUCACACUGUCCAAUUUAUUUUGUAUUUAUUUCAUGAAUGGAGUGACAAGCAAAGUGAGGAUGCCCCUUUUUCCCUUUUCCCAGUUUUAGCGCGAUACUGCAUUUUCUGCACAGUGUUAUCUAGCUUCAUCUCUCCACUUACUGAGAGAAACCAAAGCUUUUGGCUCUGUUCUUGCUGUUUCUUUGUAAAGAUGUAGUGCUUUUGGUGCAGCAUUUCUUCUUUGAACUGGCAUUUCCCUUCUCCUCCAGGGAAAUGCUGUUGGGCUGACCUAUUCAACUGAUGUACCCAAAUGCUGGCUGAGUGCAUCCCAUAUCAAGUGCUUGACAUUAUUUGGUGACUUGCUCAUUCCCUUUGUGCUACUGGGUCUACUGUGGGAUUCUCAUAUGGAUUUAUAAAGCCAUCAAUUUGUUAGGCCGUGCUAUCUCCCUGGUGAAUCUCUUUCCCAGAUAGCAUUGAUUAUCCAACACUUGGUGUUUUGAGGUUUCUCAAAAUAAAGUUAUAUUUCUUGAAACUUUUCUCAAAACAAGCUGGGUGGAGUUUCACUAUUCACAUAUUCACUACAGAAGAAAUUUCUUCCACACUUUUAACCAUGUAUUUUUUCUUUCUUUUUUUUUCUUCUAAUACUAAAGUCCCAAAGGUGAAGCUUGUGUUGGGUAGAAAAGUGACAUCCUGGUCAAAAUUGGGAAGUUUAACUUAAAGCUUUACCCGUGCAUACAUAAUAAGUUAGUCUUUUUUUUUUUUAAUAGCUUGCAAGCUAUGUUUCAGCAUUACAAAAUUGGCAUUUCAGAAUUGCAAAUGAAAGCAGUCCAGUUGAAAUAUCCAUUACAGAAUGUGGCAUAAUGUAUGGCUUCCAAAAUAAAGAAUAUGAUGUGGAAAAUAUCUUUAUAUAUUCAGGCAUCCUGCAUCACCAACAGGCAUCCAAAGUUGGUCCAGACUGCACCUCUGCUGCCAUCUAUCGCACAGCAACAUCACAUAGUGGAAUAUUUGCCGUGAAGUUCAACUUCUACUGCCUUACCAUCAACAUCCUUCUCUGACAUCAUGAGCCAACAUAAUAAAAUAGCAGGCAGCAUUUAAUUCAAUACUGGGAAAGCAGCAGUUGGCAGUCUGAUUCUCCUUACCAUAUGAUGACUAUUUCCCUCAAAUCAAAAUCAAGCUGCCAGUUCUAGAGACUCUUCUCAAAGCAAAUAGCGUCAAUAAAAGAAGUGUGGAGAAGUGAUAUGAAUAGCAGGUGUGCCAGAUCAGCCACAUCAUCAUCUGUGGGUAGGUGCUUUUUGGUUUUUGUCGCACUCUCCUUUGUUUGACCUCUGGUGUCAGAGGACUUGGUUGGCAUCUCUGCCUCGCUAAUCAUCUCUGACAUGUGGCUGGCACUGGCAAAUUUACUCAAAAGGAUGUGCCUGCUGUAUUCUGCAUUGGCCUUCACCUGUUGGAGGCAGAUAAGUGCUGUAUAUUUUGAAUCGGGUAUAAAAAUGUAAUGAAUACUUCGUAUACUGCUUUGCUUUGUAACUCUGGUUCACGAGUUCUGUCUUCUUCAGACCAAUACAAGUACUGCAGUAAGUCAGUAAGUCAGUGCUCUUUCAAAUAGCACUUCUUCCCUUCUCAAGAUAAACAAAACAUGUGAUUAGAUUUGGAAGGCAUCAACAUUUUAGUGUAUCCAGGAGUUUGUUUCUUUUUCUUUUUUUUUUUUUUCCCUACAGAAAUAUUCACAUUUGGACUUCAGGGGUGAAAUCCAGGACUCUUUGAAAUCAAUAUAUUUUCACAGAUAUUUUAACAGAGAUGAGAAUUUUCUGCUAAUCUUUCUUCUUUCAGCUACUUCUUCUCAGAAGAGUUACAUACAGACAGAUUUUUUGUACGUACUUUUUUUUUUUUUUUUUUUUGAGUUGGCUACAAGUUAGAAAAUCCCCUACAGCUAAAGUUCAGGCUGAGGAAACAAGUGAUUUUUAUGGAUUAUCUAGUGAGUUUAGUCAAGGAUGCCUGUGCUUGUGUCCUGUGGGAGAAGCUUGUAAUAAGCCUUGAUAAAUCAGUACUCAUAUGCAUGCAUCUUCCCUUUUGCCUGCUAAGACUAAACAGAGCUAUUUCUCAAUUCCCUUUCUGCUAGUGAAUCACAUCAAAGAUUUGAAAGGGUGAUGGGGUUUUCUUAUUCAAAUGAUGUAUUCAUUGACUUUCUUGAUUAGUGUCUUUACAUUUUAUCAAUGAGCACUUCUCUGAAUUUCAAUUACAUGUUUCCAUUGAAGAAACUGUGAGGGGGAAAAAAGUGGUUUCAGUAAUGAUGGUAGUCAGUUGAAAAAGUGCUGUGCAGGUUGACUGUCAAACAUAUUAAUACUUGCUUUAACAAAAUGUUUAAUUUUUAAAAUAUUUUGUUGUUAUGCUUUUAUUUCCAGAAGUGUGAACAUGCACUGGCAGAUCCUUAUUCUUUCUGUGCUCAGUUAUAAAUGUGGUAGGACAUUUAUGUUCAAAAAACUACCUACAGCCUAAUUGCAGAAGAAAGGAACGCUGCAGGUCCUGCCUGAGAGGUUGAGCUGAACACUUUUUUUUUCUGGCUUACUGGUCUGGAAGAGAUUCAGAUAAGCUGAAAUCUUUUCAUGGCGCAAACUUUUGAAAGUAUAGAUCUUCCUUUCCAACUAACAUUAUGCAAGGACUGAAUCGUUGGCAUUCUGAGCAUUUGAGUUACUAGUUGCUAGUGCCACCUGCAACUUUGGCCAAAAGAUAAGAAGGUGUUUGCUUGUUUAUAUAUCAGAAAAGGAUUUAAUGGGGAUAAGUUUAAUAUGCAGUAUUACACUUUUCAUUGUUUCUAAUUAAAUCACAAAUACAAUCUGCAUAUUUUGGUGAGAAUACAGUAUUUUCUAACAGAUUUUGGAUAAAAUGACCUAAAACAAUCACAGCAAUAUGAAGGCUAGUGGAGAAGUGGGUGGAGAAUCAACAUAAAAAAAUAAUUGUUUCAGUGACGUUUCUAAUGUCUGAUAUGGCAUUUCAUUUUCUCAUUUAGUGUGUAUAGAUCUUAGGAUUUUUAGUUAAAUGAAUCUAUAGUAGGUUGGCUGUUGAGCAUGGCUUGAUAUCUUUUCUAGAGGACAAAUACAGGGAAAAAAAUACCUGUGAAUGUUAUCCAGAGAUAUUUGAUCACAUUCUUAAGAAGCUGGCUGGAAUCUUAGAAAAACAUGUUUCCUCAAUGCUCUUCAUGAGUUAAGUUGCCCUGCAGAAGAACUUCUGCUAUUUCUGUUGGGGAUUGAGAGUGUCUUUAUUUCCUUGUCAGUUGGAAACUGUUUUACUGUAUAAUUAUAAUCAUAUGUUGGAGCACACAAAUAUAAAGCUUUGAAAUUAUUAUUGUGAGUUUUAGUCUAAGAAAUUUAUGUUCACAAUAAAGAUGACUUUUUUUUAUAUGCAUAAAACAACUUUGGGGCAAUUUUCUCCCUAGGAAUGCUCCAUAGUUUUGUUGCUCAAUAGCCUCCUGGGAUGUAAAAAAAAGGCUAAAAAUAAAUGCUGUUUCCCGUCAGACAGAAAAUGAGCAUUCUGCAUAACUGUUUCCAAGGUGAGUACUCUCUUCAUGGGAUAGGCAUCUGUGCUUCUGUGUCUUUUCUGGUGUAGUAUUAACAGCUCUAGAGGGCGAGACACACUAGCAAAGAUUAAAAACAAACAAACAACAACAAAAAAACUUGCAGACAUUUAUUCAUUUCUUAACUAGCAUGUCCACUGAGGUUUGGGAAGCCUGUAGGAAUCUCCAUGGAAGUCAACCAGCCUACCUUCAGGCUAUGAAUUUUGGUUGGUGAUGCUUACUCUUUGCAGUUUUAGUUUUCAUAGAAUCACCAAGGUUGGAAAAGAUCCCACAGGAUCACCCAGUCCAACCAUCCACCCAUCACCAAUAGUCCUCAUUAAACCAUGCCCCUCAACACAAUGAUCAAACAUUCCUUGAAAACCUCCACGGUUGGUGACUCCACCACCUCCCUAAGCAGUUUUUGAUGCUUCUUUUUAAUUCCUAUUUAUAAAAUAGAGGAAAACAACACUUCUGUUUUAGGACUGUUGUGAAAAUAAAUACAUUAAAGCUUGUAUAUUCAUAUACUAAUGUAGUUAUGCAUAUCUAAAUAAAGUAGGAAUGAGUCACCAACUUUGAAUUCUGUAUGACUGUUAUUUAGCCUUAUACAUUCAAGCUAACCAGUGAGAAGAAAGUCCAGACUACUAAUUUGCCAUGAGGGAAUAGCAUAUCUCUGAAUCAAACAGAUUCUUUAGCUGGUGUAGGUACGGAUUUGGGGCUAGGAACAUUAAUAGCAAUUCAGUAAGGCACAUGGCAAUUGUAAUUAUUUUAUGCUAUAAAAAGAUACAAGUGACCCUGAAAAUCCUAUUAUGAACCACAAAAUUAAUGGCAAGGCUAAAAUAUUAUAGUUUUAUGUGAACCAUUUCAGUUAAUUUCAGAUUUUAUAUAUAUAUAUAUAUUUAAGUCCAUGAUCAUCUUCAGAAUGUAGAAUGAAUUUUAUAUUUUUCCCUCAGUUUGAGGGAUUGUUUCCUGAAGUUUAGAUUAUUAUGAGCCAUGUUAUCAAUAAAAUCUCCCUUCCCUCCAUACACAGCUAAUUCUACUUCAGUAGAUCAGUCUGUAUGAAUGAGGCAACAGACUGUAUCAUUUUUGUUGUUUAGAUACUGAGAGGCAAAUAUACUUCAUCUCUAGAAUUGGAUCUCUCUUUCUUUCAUUAAUAGUAUUGUAACUAUAAAAUAGAUUUCAUGGGACAACUGGAGUUUGAAAGUAUAGAAAAAAGUAGAGUGGAAUAAGGAAAAGAAUUAAUUAAUAUGUGGUCGUAUUACUUAUUUCACUUAUAUAUUUAUUGCUACAGUAAUAAGGCAUUAGCACUUUUAAUAGAGUAGAUCGUUAUUUACCUUUCAUAAUUUUUGAGUUUGUGUAUGUGUGCAGGAGUUUGUCAGAGUGCUACACAGAGCUUAACUUUUAUAUUUGCAUUUCUUAACAGUGUCAGUUUAUGUUCUGCCACCAGGGAUUGCCUCAUCCCAUGUAAUCCAGAAUGUCUAUAGAUUGAUCUCUGUGCCUGAGGAAUAUGAAGAAAUUCCCCCAUACUCUGUAAUUUCUUGAACAUUGAAUGCAUUGGGAUCAGACCACACAUAGUGAUUUUUAUCUUUGAAGUAUUUCUUUUUUUUUUGUUUUAUUUUUUAUUUUUUUAUUUUUUGCAUUGAAAGACUCCAACCAUCUCUACUAUUGUUUAUAAUAUGAAAGUAAUUAAAAUUCUAUUUUAUCACUUAAUCACCGAAAUGGUUAACUUACAUUAUUGCUGUCUCCCAGUCUAUGCCAUUGUUCUUUUCCAGGAGAAGAAAAUUCUACAAAGCAGCAGAAAGGAAGUGCAAUUCAUUAUGCACGGAGCUUUCUUUAUCUUAAUCAGUUCUGGUAAUUUACGUAAGAGGUUUUGUCAUUAACUGCGUUUUCUUUGAAGAAAUCCCUCCCAUAGCCUAAUCUAGUUUGCCACUUAUUUAAAUGCCUGUGAUGGUAAAACAGAACUACUUUCUUCAGAGUGUUUGAAAAUUAUUAGAAACUCUAGUCUGAAUGUGUGUAUAUAUAUACUUUCGUCAGACAAAAUAUUAUUGUAAGUGAAUGCUAUGUUGUCAUCUUCUAAUUAGACUGGUCUAUUAGUCAAAUUUAAGUUUCAAGUGGACUGGAGGAUGGAGAAGUGUAUGUAAUGGGAGGCACAUAAUAACCUUGUUAACCACUAAAAUGUCUUUCAGGAUUGAGCACUGCAAGGAGACUGACUACAUGCAUGAGAGCUGCUCUGAUAGUAAUGCCUCCUAUUUUAUUAUGUUAGCUCAUAAUAUCAGAAGUGGUUGGUGGUAUGGCAGUAGAAGUUGAACCUUCCUACCAAUAUUUUGUUAGAUUCUGUUGCAAUGUGACAGAUGACAGCAGAGGGAGAGUGAGACAAAUUGGCUUUUGACAUGGAAGUGCGUAUGAAGCAAAAAUAUGUCAUUGAAUUCCUCCAUAGGGAGAAAAUGUCACCCAGUGAUGUUCACUGAAGUUUGCUGAAUGUUUAUGGAGACCAUUGAAUGUCAGCACACCAAGGUAGUGGGUGGUGCGUUUGAAUAGUGGUGACAGUGGAUCAGCUCCACUGGUGCAGAUUAUUAUGAGCGCAGCAUGCAUGCUCUUGUUCAUCAUUAUUGAAAAUGUAAAGCUAAUGGUAGCGAUUAUGUUGAAAAAUAGUGUUUUGUAGCUGAGAAUUUGCUCUAUCAAAUACUGUUAUCUUUGUUGUAAUUUCCAUGGAAAGAAAUGUAAAUCUGAGAAGAGAGAAGAAAAUCAGCAGGGAAUGUCAAUGUAACCGAAAUCCAGGAGCAUAUCCAGCUGAAGGGAGUUCACAGAUUAAGAUCAAAGAAGAACUGAGUGUUAGAAUAAAAGAUUUCAUUUGAGACUUUUCAAGUAUAAUUUGGAGCAGACCAUCUUGAAUGUCAUCACACAGCACAUACAGGACAACCAAGCUAUCAAAUGAAGCCAGCAUGGGUUUGUGAAAAGCAGAUCCUACCUGACUAUCCUGGCCACCUAUGAUCAGAUAACUUGAUCAGUAGAUGAGAGAAAGGCUAGGGUUAUUGUAUACCUUGAUCUUGGUGAGUGUUUGAUGCUGUUUCUGACAGUAUUUUCCUGGAGGAUCUGCCUGUUUUUGGCUUGCGCAGGUGUAUAUUUUUCUGGGUGUUGAACUGCCUGGAUGGCCAGGCUCAGAGAGUCAUAGUGAAUGAAGUUCAGUCCAAUUGGCAAUGAGUCACCAGCAACUUUUCCCAGGGCAUGGUACUGGGAACAGCUUUAUUUAACAUUUUCAUUAAUGAUUUGGAUGGGGGGUGCAGUGGAAUUGCCAAGUUAUGGCCUGAACCAAUGGUUGAGCACCAGGUGAGAAAGGCAAGACUAACCCAGGGAGCUCAUGUGCAAGCAAUGCACAUGAGUGACUAGAAGGAAAUCAGUCUGGAUCCACCGCUCCUUACUCUCAUUUAAGGGCUAGCAGCUGAGGGAGCACCGUUUCUCUGGAUAGAGGUUGCACUCCUCUUGAGCUGUCGCUGAUUGUUGGAAGGCGUGAGCCAAUUUUCCUUCUUUGCUACCUGCUAUUGUUCUGUAGUGCCUGUAUCCCAUUCAAGCACACUGUUAUUGCCUUCUUUCCCCAUACAGGGGAAUUUAAUGAACCCUCAGAAGGUUCCCUGACAAUACCAAAUUAGGUGGAACCUGCAUGAGAGUUGGCAGGCUAUGCAGAGACAUCUGAAUUAGUAGAUUCAGUGGGCCAAUGAAUUCAAUCAUAUGGUAUUUAAGGAAGGUGAGUUGCUCAGUCCUGCACUUCAGUCAGAAAAACCCUGUGCAGUGAUAUAGGCUGAGGAAAGAGGACUUGGGGAUGCUAGUCAAUAGCUGAACACAAGCCAGCAGCGAGCCCAGGUGGCCAAAGUGACUGAUGAUAUCCUGGCCUACAUUAGAAAUACUGUGGACAGCAGGAUGAGGGAAAUGGUAAUCCCAUUGUACAGCGCUGGUGAGACUACACUUUGAAUACAUUGUUCAGUUUUGGGCCCCUUACUUCAAGAAAGCUGUUGAGUUGUUCAAACAUAUACAGAUAAGUGAAAUGAAGCUGGUAAAGGGAUUAUAAAACAAGAAUCAUGAGGAGCAGCUGAGGGAACUGGGGUUGUUUAGUCUGGGGAAAAUAAAGCUGAGAGUGGAUCUCAUCUCUCUCUACAACUUCCAGAAAGGAGGUGAUGGGUGACAGGAUGUGAAAUAACAAACUUUUAGAAUUUCUUCCCAGAGAGAGUGUUCAAGAACUGGAACAGACUGCCCUGGGAAGUGGUGAAGUCCUCAUCCCUGGAGAUAUUUAAGAGAUGUGUGGAUAUGGUAAUAAAGAACAUGGUUAGAUGAUGGUUAGAUGACUUUGUCGGGUCAGGUUGAUGGAUAUACUUGAUGAUCUUUAAGGUCUUUUCCGACCUAGAUGAUUCUGUCAUACGUGUAUGGGUUCUCAGUACCCUGCAAUUAAUAUAUAUCUUUAGGAGUUGUUUCACCUAGAAUCUUUCUUUCAUCCUCAUCACUGAUUUAAAAAUACAGUGCAAAAAAUAUUUCUCCUUCCUGCUUUUGUCUCUCUCUUAUAUGUAUGUAUUUAUACGCUUGUUGUUGUUUCCUGGUUUUGCUCUGUUGGAGAAUAAGUAAAGUUUAGGGAAUGGAUCUGAUCCAAUGGUUUAAACUUUGCUCCAGUAAAGUCUUUAUUACAUGGUCUAAUUCUAAUUUUUUUUUCCCUUUGCUUUUUACUCUUAGGCACACAUUUGAAUUCUGAACUGGUCUAGGAUCUAGACUUCUUUCUUAACAGCGCAGGUUCAUGUUGAAUUAGAGAUCUCAUAUAUAUCUUAGGUUUUUUUACCUGACAGUUUCAAGUUUUAAGGAUUUUUCUUGCUAUAGAAGGCCCUGGUCAUGAGGCAGUUAUGCUUUUAAAAAGCUGACAUGUACAAGAUCAGACAUAGGACUUCACUGGCCAAAGAAAGCACAUAUUAUCCUAUAAUAAGUUGACUCUAAAUGUUCCACUUUUCCUCCUGAGAUUCUAUUGCCCAGACUCCCUUAUUUCCCCUUUAUCUUCUAAUCUGCUUCAUUGAGUUACACAUCUGUGUAUGUUUACUCCUGUGCAUGUAGUGGUGCAAACCAAUCAAGUGACCACUGAGACAGUAAUACUGCCUCUCAGGUGGUACAUAUAAGUCCACAGAUGUUCUGGGGUACUAACUGCUUCUUCAUAAUUCCACGCAGAAGAAUGGCUUUACAAAAGAGCACAAACAGGUUGAAUUAAUAUUGCCUACUGCUGAUCUGAGUGCCUUCAGUACCCCUUCUCCCAGUAUGAGAUUUAAGUUCCGUCAUUGGAACGGCACUCAUUCAAAAAUUAGACCAUAUAUAGCACAAUGAAACAUUCCUACAACUUGGAACCUUUUCUGAAGCAAAAAUUAUACAAGUAAACUAAAGGCUCAAGGCAAAAAUUAUGACUGAAUGUGAUCUUUUGAGUAAAUAAUGGAUUCUGGUAAUGCAUUAGUUUUCAUUCAGAAAAGCUGCUAAUAUAAUCCUAGUUCCCCAAACAGCAGGCUAAUUGUUGUUCAGUGUUCUUUCUGAUUCCACUUAAAAAUUUCACGGUGGACCUAAUAACAGUAAAAGUUAAGGGGUUUAAUAGGUUGGGUGUUUUUUUUUGUUUGGUUGGUUGGUUGUUUUUUUUUUAAAAGGAAAUCGUCCUUUUGAAAUUAUCUGGAACUAGACUUGAACAAACACUUAAAAUUUUAACAAAGUUAUUCCUUCCAUCUUCCCAUUUUCCUUCUAUUAUGGAAACAUUUUUUUUUAAUGGAAAAAAUUGUGUGUCUCUGUGCAAUUUGGACUACAACAAUGCUGUUCUUAUUGAUGUGCUUUGAGCUCAAUUCACAAUCAAGUGGUGAGAGGGACAGUCUCAAUUGCCACUGAUUUAUAUGUAAAUUGUGAUAAACCAGUACUUUCAAAUAUAAGGCACAAAGGUUCCAUUUUAUAUCUCUCUUUCUCUCUCUCUCUCUCUUUUUUUUUUUAGGUAAGAUUCCAGGAGUAAUUUAAAUGUAGUGAACUUAGUAAAUUCUAAAAUGAUCUCCACAUGAUGAAAUAAUUACUGAUUUUAUGCAAAGAGUAAAAAUGAUACUUAAGAAUACUUAUUAUUUUAAGAGUAUACUGCUGUCUUCAGGACAAAAAGUAAUUGUUUUCAUCAUUGCCUCUGUGGAUUAUAUUGUCCUUAUAAGCAGGUAUUAAAUCAUGCAAAGAGGGGAAGGCUUUUGUUCCUUCGAGAAAACAGAAAACUCUUCAAUAAAUAGCAAAGUGAUUCCUCAGCUGAAUUCAAAAUAUUGAGCUUAUGUAAAAAAAAAUUAUCACAUGAAAAAAAAUCUUUAAUGCUGCAUAAAAGAUUUUGUUCCAUUCUGCAUUGUACUGAAUCAUCAAUAGAGAAAUGGUUCCUUUGUUUUCAGUAGAUGGGGAAUGUUGUGGAUAACUUAUGUGAAAAAUGUAAUACUCCUAUGUCAGUACAACAAAAGAAAAGAAAGGAGUAAAUGUUAUGAGGACUGCUUCAGAAGGGAAUUCUGCUCCAAAGAGGUGAUCUAGAAAGAAAGGAAACAAACUCCUUAGUAGUCAGUCCGUUUAGACAGUGAUGCUCAUUUGUGUGAAGCUUUUUUGUUAUCAUCACAUAUUUCAUACUCAUAUAUUAGGUAAGUCUCUCUGGGAAUUCAAUGUACACAGAACAAAAGAGGAUAUACUUGAUUCAAAGAUAGCUGAAUUUCUCAGGAAGUUCUAAACCUCAGUGGGAUGGCUGCUUGGGAAGUCCUUUUACUGCAGUGCCUUGUGGCCACCAAACCAAGCAGUGAUUGAGCAGCCUUGAAUCCUUGUAAUUAGAAGAAGGAAGCUUAGUGAGAACCAGCUUAGAUGACUUUGUUCAUUUUCCUUAGCUUGUAUAGAACUGCAAGUGUUAAUAUAAUCUAAUAAUAAGAUUGUUUUGGAAAAAAAAAAUCUUGGUUUUAUAUUAAACCACUAAACAAAGGAGUGAAAGAAAAAAUAUAUUGCAAUGUUAUGAACAUCAAAUACUAUCUGAACAAGGAAAUAUUAACAGUUUAUGUGAUAAACUUUAGACAAUACUCUUGCAUCAAUAGCAUCACUGAACUGCUUGUGGGUGGCUGGGGAUAGUUUUUCCAAUAUCCAAUACUAAAAAACCCAUUAUAUUAAAAAAAAAAAAAAAAAGUGAAAAGUGAAUAAGAGCAUAUUGGGUCAUUGGCUUAUUAAUUUUACAACUAGAUGAAACAGUAGAUUUGUUUUACUUUACACAAGCUGUGUUUUUUUUCCUUCCAUGAGCUGAGUGAAUGAGUUUGAUUGGUUCUGUAAGGCUCCGGUUUGAAUUUGGGGGGAUUUUAUGCUUUUCUAAUCUUUAAAUGUAGAGUACUAUAGAAUAUGAUUACCUACCAAUUUCUUAACCAAUAUGUAUUUACUGCUGUCUCUGAGUUUAUAUUAUACUACAAUUUUGGAAGUCUUUUUAUACAUGAUUGUAACUGUUCAUGUCAGAUCUGUCUACAUUCGUAUAUUCAGUGCAUGUACUUGAAGAAUAGCUUAUAGAAAGUAAUUGCAGCCAGUGUUUAUAGGACAUCACAGUUGUGUGAACAGUGCUUAAAAACCUGAAAAAAAUCAGAAAAAAAGAUAGUAUAGAUUAAAAUAUUUUUAGAUUUCAUUUCAAAUAGGAUUAAACAAAAAUUUCAAGUAUUAUCUUUACAACUGUGAAGUUCACCCUAUUCUCAGUGAUGGCAUACUAAAUUUGUCAUGUAACUGUGCCUUAGCUAGCCUGUAGGAUUUAUUUUAGUUAUACAGACUGUCUUGGAAAUACGCAUAGAGGAUGAAGCAGUGACCUAUGGAUUUUAGAAUACUCAGAAAAAUUUUGCAUACUAAUCUUAUUUUUUUUAUAACAAUCUGAAUCUAAUUUACUUGCUGCAAGUGGGGAUGAGUCACAUUAAUUUGUCUUUUUUAACUAGAAAUACCCUACAGCUUGAUCAACACCACUAUCCCGAUUUAUACCAUCAACAUCAUGGAUUGGGUCAGUAUAAGGAAAGGAAAAAAUGAAAGAAAUCAGAAGCAAUUUUAAAACAUCAGAAGAGAAAAAAAAAGUCUUUGAAUAGAUCUGUAAAGACAGCUCAUUAUGUUUAUGAAAAAUCCACAGUUGAUAGUGAUGUACUGAUGAAUAUGACUAUAUAUAUGAAUAUCCACCUCAUCCCUCCUCUUCUGAGUUGUCAUCAAGAAAUAAGAUAUUCUCUCUUACUCUUCUGCCAAAAAACAUCUGGAAUCCUUAGGAAAACAUUGAGGUAUUGAAUCAAAAAGACUCUAUCAGCAUAUUUACUUUAAGCACUCAAAGUCAGUCAUUGACUCAGUUGUAGACUUAAGAUUAUGCAGUUGCUUCAUGUUUUACUAAAAGGUUUAAACAUUAUACUGAAACAGAGGUAAUUACACUGCUUAUAUGCAGUUCUAAUCUACCUUGAGUGUGGGAAAAAAAAUUACUUGUGCAUUUAAAAAUAGUAUUAUAAGAAUUAUUUGUAGGAUUUUUAUGCCUAGGUGCUAGGUGCUCCUAGUGCAGAUUUCACAACUUUUUGGAAACUGUAAGAUUACUAUUUCUUUCUGAGUUGUUUGUCACUCUUAAUAACUACGAGGUAAACAGAAGAAAACACUUCUAUGAAAGCUGCUCUAAUAACUGCUGUAAUGACUACUAACAGAAAUGGCUUCAUUAUUCAUGAGUUGUGCACAGAAUUAGUUUGAGACAUUGAAUGGAUGUGAGGAUCUAUUCAUUUUCUGUUACAAACUCCAUUCUCAGCUACCUGAAAAAAUUAAGGUCAAGAAAAUGGUUCAUCAUGUUUACUCAUUCAAGACAUCACCAAAAUCCAGUUGAUACUAGAACUGGGGACAAACUUACUUUACUAAUUUGUCUUUGUGGGUAAUAUGCAACCAAUCCUUUCCAUAUAAACUACUCCAGAGCCACUAUUAGUAUUUUUACUAGUGUACGGAUAGGAGGAGGUUAGAGAAGCAUAUAUCAUAUGUCUAGGUUAUAUAUAAAGGGACUGGAUAUUGAUUACCUCCAUAUUUUACCUGCUGAUAUAGUCAUCUUUGUGUAAUUUUUGAUAAUUUUACAAGGACACCUUAUUGUUUGUGAGAAGCAAGUUGGAGAGCCUUUCUGUAGUGAUCUGCAUCAGCAUUUAGAAUGCCAUAAUGAGGUUAUAUGUUACACUAUGCUUAUGUGCUUUGCUAUUAAUUUGAAAUAUUCUCCCUGAACAUGAAAUUAAUAGAAGUAAGGAAAAACUAUUGGACCACAAUCUGGAUUAAGCACUUCUUUGUAUCAUAGAACUUCAGAUGCAUGAUUAUUAUGCCAGUAAUCAGAGUAGCAUUGAAUUUAAAAUUGCUGCUUUGUUGCUCUGCAUAUUUUGAUCCAGUAAUUAGGACUGAGAACUGUUACUUCGUUUUACUUUCAGCAUUAGUAACAUUACAGGAUUUCAGAGUAUGCAAAAGAGAAAGGGCAUGAAAAUCAAAGCAAAACUUUCAUUAGAUGAUGAUGCAGUUUUGGAAAUUUAAGGAACUUCAAUUAAGUUUCACACCUUACAGUAUAAUGUAUACCCUAAAUUCUGUAAAACUUAAGCUUAGGUGAAUUAUUUGGAUUUUUGCUGUGACCUUCACUUAAAUGGCUAGUAUUUCUUUCUCUAUCUUUCAGUGCAAUAAUUUUAGACCAUACAAGUGCCAGGUUAACUUUUUUUUACAGGGUAGUAGCUGUGUCUGCAUCAGCAAGUCAUACAUGGAAGAAAUAGAUCAGGAGAUCAAAAUAGCUGGUGGUUGAGACUACUGCCACUAUUAUGUGUACUGCUCUGGGGGCUUAUUUUGAAUUGAUUUAGUCUAGUUUCCUGAUUCAGAUGUCCUCGUCACAUGUGCAGCUCAAAGUCCUUUGAAGAACUAACCUUUUGUUUGGACCCUUAUGAACCCACUACUUGCUAGAUUGCAUUUGAUGUGUGCCUGAUAUAGAGUUUAGUUUCCUCCAAAGAAAAUCUAGCUAGCAUCAGCCUCUCCUCAUUGGGCAAGUGCCCAACUCCCCACCAUAAUGAAUGCCCAUUCCUUAUCAGUGCUGUAUCUUUAUCUCUAUUUUGACAGCAGUUUUCUGACUUUGAGUUCUAUCAUAAUCUUAACAAGCUUCCCAUUAAUUUCUGAAUAGAACAGCAUAUGAAGAUACAGUACUGGAAGUCUGGUGAAAGGAUUAUGGUGUUAGGAAUUAACAGGAAGAAUGAAAACUACUGCACCCACCCAAUACAGAAAAGUACAUACUUCAUUAUCUUAGUAGCUACAUUAUCUGCAAUAUCAAACAUCUUGUUUCGUGUCAAAGGUCAUACCUUGGUGAUGUCUUAUUAGUACAGCCGUCUUUAGCUGGUGUGAGAUAUGUGUUUAUUCACAGUUUGAACAUCACCCCUUCAUUCUCUCCUAUCAUUAGUAACUUAGAGUUUUCAUGUACCCGAUCAACUCUUGACACAAGAUAGGUCUCUAGAAGGAAGAGUGAGUUUUGAACUUUCUGUAAUUAAAUGUACAUUUUUUUAACAUCAGUAAUUGGAAAUCACAAUAGAUUCCAAUCCCCAUGCUAAUAAUUCAUUAUAAAUCUGACAUAUAUGGCGAACAUUUAUAUACCAUAAUUUUAGAGGUAUCUCAACUAGAAAGUUCCUAGCAAUAAUAAAAUAGUAAUAAAAAGACAAAGGCAGACGCAAAAUAGCAUUUUAAAGGUAACAUAGUUGAAUCUGUUAUUGUCCAAAAUUAUUUUCUGCAUUAAACACUAGAUACUAUGAGAAGAACUUAAAGUAAAAGGUACGUACUGUAAUUCUUCUCAUAUUAUGUAUUAGACUGAAAAAAUACACAUAGGUAGUAAGGAAGUUGUGUUCUCCCAUAGCACUGUGAUUAAUGUGUACUUAAAUUUCUUCAAAAGAAUCUCGUAAUAUGUCCAUGAGAUGUUCGUGAUUUUAUUACAUCAAAAUUUAAAAGCAAAUUUCAGGCUUACAAGCUCUGGCUUUUUUGCUGUGAUUGGCUUCUGACAUGAGCACAGGUAGUCCCUGUCUUGUAGUCUUGCAUUCUCGAUUUACAUAGUGGACUUUAAAUUGUUUUACUUCAGGGGAUGUUAUAAUCUCCUUUGAUGUCCAUAAAGUCAGUAGACCUAAUCUGCUUGAAAGAUACUGAAUUUCUUAGAAGCUCAUAUCCGCCUACUAUUUUACAUAGGGAUUAUCAUUACUAGGCUCAUAAAAUGUGUUUUUAACAAUAACAAAAUUUGAUAAGCAGCUUGGCUUCAUAAUGAGAAUUUAGCAAGACAGAAAUGCUACUCAGCAGCAAUAGUUUUUCCCUUGCAGAAACUAUGUCAUGUGAAAAGAAAAGGAAGGAGGAUCUGAUUUCUAGACAGUUCGUAACUGAUUGUGUCAAAAUCUACAUAAACGCAGGACACACAGUUCUCAUGGUAUGUAUAAGAGUUGUUUAAGGAGUUAAUUAUGGAUAGGAAUGAAUUAUCUGUGCAUAUGCUGCUGGUAACAAAUAAUCAACUUUAAAUUCUCAUUUUUAGACCUAAUGGUUGAUAUUCAAUUACUAAUGGUUAUCCAUCUAAAAAGCUAUCUUACAAUACUCAGCUUGAAUUAAAUAUCACUACAUUAAAUUGAAUUAUGAGAAAGAGUAGCUCAUCUAUAUAUGUAGAACAUCUUGAAAUUGAAAUUUGUUAUUCAAAUCGUGAUUCUGUAAUAUGGAAGUGCACAUUUUUAAUAUGAAUAUAGAGAAUUCAGUGCUUGCCUAUUUGAGUUGCAUGUAUGAGCUCAUUAAAAAAGGUAUGCUAAAAAUGAGUAUCUAUAAUAUAUAAUCUAGAAGAUACAAAACCAAAUACAUAGUUACUGAUACCAGUCUGUGUUAAUGUCUGUGGGUUGCUUCAAAAGUACUGCCUUCUAUUUAUUUCCAUGGCAAUUAAAACAGAUACGGAGGACACAAUAACACUGUUUGAUAGAGCAAAUUCUCAGCUACAAAGCACUAUUUUUCCUCAUAUAGUCACCACCAUUAACUCCAUGUGUUGCCAGUGAUGAACAAGUUCCUGCAUGCCAUGCUCGUAAAAUUCUGCAUGGCCAUCAGGGGUGUGGCUUGUCUUUCAUGUUGCUAUCAUCACACUGCUGAAACACACAACCCAUGGCCUCUCUGUGCUCACAACCACUGUUUGGUCCACAUAAAUGUUCACUGAGCAUUGAUGAAAGUCAGCAGGUGUCAUUUUUUAUGCUUAGAGGAAUUCAGUUAUAUGCCUGUGCUCAAUAAUUCACUUCCACAUCAGACACUGUUUUGACAGACUGCCCCUCUGCUGCCAUCUGUUGCAUGGCAACAAAAUGUAAUGGAAUAUUGGUAGGAAGUUUCAGCCUCUACUGACAUACCACUAGCAUCUGCCUCUGAUGUUGUGGGCCAACAUAACAAAAUUGGAGGCAUCAUUUUCAGAGCAGCCCUUGUAGACAGCACCAUAAAUGCCAGUAGAUGAAACCGUAAACAGGGUGUACAGCUUUAAGUUUUCUUUUUUGAAUUAUUCUUUACCAUUUUACAUCACUUUUAAAGACUGCAUUUUGAAAAAUGGUCAGCAUCUCUAAUUCUGUAUGCAUAAGCAGUUGGGCAUGCUAGGGGAAAAACCUAUUUCUAGGAUUUAUGUGUGUAUACUAUCUGAGUGUGCUUAGCAUGACCGACAGUUAUCACGUACCAGAAUGACAGUGUAUUUUGCAUUCUUAUAGGAGAUUUGUGCAAGUAGGUGGAGACAAUGGGAGGUCUAUAUGAAGUUCUAACUGGCUUAAGUUGGUGAUGUUGAAUGUGACUGUUAACGCUAUAUAUUUCUGAAAGUUUUAGAGUCUUUAUUUGUAAUGACAUAUUAAGGAUUCAUUUACUGUUUUCCAACUUACAGAUUUAUUCUGAAGACAUUUUUUAAAGGGCACUCAAUCUUAACUUUCAUUGCGUGGAAACAGAUUUAUGCCCCAUGAAACACAUGGCUACUUAAUUUUGGCUUCUACAUUCUUGUUUAUUUGUAUAUCUUUCUGAAUAUAUUCCUCUUUGUUAUUAGCUUACUCCUGCCUCUUUGCAGACAUGCGUAAUCAGCCACAAGUUUCAAAGGUUGCAGUUGGUAGGAAGGGCAUGGGGAUAACAGCCUGAAGCAAGAAUAGACGAGAAAGUGUGGAUAAAAUCAACUCUGUGUUCUGAUAAGAGAGAAAUAACCUACCAUUUGUACUAUUUACUUGGAGGAAUUUAGAAACUAGCAGGGAGGAAGAUUAGACAGCUUAGGAAGAAUUAGAACCUUGAAAAAAGAUGUAAGAGGAUGGAUGAUAUACCUCAGGAAGAAUAUGUCUUAGCAUAUAGUCUAGGGAGACAAACUUACAUGGCACUUCAUAUAGAUAUGACUGCUGCAAGCUCAGCUUCAAUACUGUAUUAAAUUGAAUAUGUUGCAUCCCAGCUGGAACUAGCUAUGAUAUGUCCUAAGGCACCAUUUUUAUCAGCAGCCUUUUUGGGUUAGCAAACAACAAAUGAACAGUUUCUGUGCUUUGAGCCAGUAAUAAUGAGAACUUGAUAAAUUCAAAUUCUUAAACUGUGAUCAUUAAACUAUUUUGUUAAAAUUUGUUUUUGUUGAUCUCACUGAUGGAGACACCUCUUUGCCUAGUCCCAUCAUGUUGAUUUGAGAAAGACCAUGGAUUCUGACAAGACUUAAGGAUACAGAGAAACAGAAAUUUUAGACAAGCAUAGUGUUUCAUUGUUUAUUAACCAAGUAGUUUUGUUUCUGUGGGAUCAUUUCAUCUAGAAUCACUCUGAUAAAGACACAAAACUACUGUGUUGGUUGUCCUUAACAGAAUGUAAAAAUUUUUGAGUGCUCAUUUCAGACUGACAGACUGGCAGUAAAGUUGCCAACUAAUAUAUCUGGCUGAUCUUUUGUAUGAAAUGCAACAAGUAGCUUGAAGUCCUCCUCCUUUGGGGCCAGCAAAUUGAGAAUGCCAAUAUUCUGUAUCACUUGAGGGUGUUUUGAGGUCAGUUAGUGUUUUUGAUCUAGCAGUUACAAUAAAAAAUCUAGAUACAAAAAAGCCUACUUACAGUAAAUCUGUUGUUGUGGUUAUACUUUUCAGUUAUUUUAGUCCAAGAAUCUGGAGAAUUUCCUUGUAUUUGGAAACAGCGUGAUGCUGUUUGACAGCAGUCCACAUGCCAUGUCUUACUUCUAAUGGCAAGAGCUUGGCUGUCCAUUGAUGUGAAAGGGCUUUUUGGUAAAAUGUGAGUUUUGCUUUUUCCACUGAAAUGGUUGAAAAGUGAUUUGAGUAUAAAAUGGACACAGUGACAAUAGGAAAACCUGAGAGAGAGAAAGAAUGGAUUUCUUCCUAAUUAGUCUGAACAUAAUAAUGUGUAGCAUGUUAGCAGAACAUGUCUGAUUUUUAACAGAGGAAAAAUGAGAGUGCUCAGCACAAGAGAAAAGCUUUGCAUUAAAUAAACCUUUUAUUUUCCAGUGUCAGUUAAGUUCUGCUGAACAAAACCUUGGACCAUUGCUCUAGAAAGCAGCAGGUGAAUGCCACAAGGCAUCAUACUGAGGCCAGGGUGAGGGCAGCCACAGGGCUGGGACAUGGCCAAUGAGGAGAGCUAGGCAAGGCCUGACCAAGGUCCUGGGGGUCUAUGCUCAUACUGAGCCAUCUGCUGGGCAGUGCGGCAUGCCACUGUGCCACGUUCAGUCAAAUGUUGCAGAGCACUGCAAAAGAGACGUGGAGGACAGCUUGCUGAUUUUGUGGGCUUCCUCAGGCAAGCAAAGGCUGAUCAGGCAGAAGCCAGUUGGGUAGCUAUCCCCACAGGCAUCAGGAACCCAGCGUGAGGAGCCCAGAUGUGGUGUGCACUCAUACAUACCAACAUGAUAAAGGAUGUAUUUCCUCACAUGCACUUACUGGCUUUUUGGGUGGGUAGGAACUAGGAGGUUUUCCAGUCCCUCCCUGAUGUUUUCUUAGGGAAUCACCAUGAAAUGUGUUCCAUGUGAUGGCCGCCCAUAUUGCUCUUAGCAAAUACAUCUUUAUCUUGGCUUCAUAUCAAAAUGGGCUAUUGAUUUCAGAUUAACAAAAUCAAGAAAAAUAUAAGUGUGAGAUACUUUUAUUCUUCAAUAAAGUUCUGAGGACAAUAAUUGGAUUUGCCUUCCAGACAGGCACAUAGUAUUGAUUAUGAAUCUGAAACUAUAAUUCAAACAAGGCCAAAACUAAUAGAAAGUAUACACAUGUUCAGUAACAAAUAAAUUAAAAAAUAAAAAAUAUUCAUAUGUUAAAUGCAAGAAUUUUACAACUGUUACACUGAUAUGUUAUUGUAUUACACUUGCCUAAGUGGCUUAGCUGUUUUGUGUAUAACCUAAUAUAUGAUUUCACUGUUAGAGAAUUAUGGAGUAAACUAAAGAAAGGUAAAACACUUUUUAUCACUAACAUAACAUAAAACAUACCUCAGUGACUGUUGUUGUGAAAUACUAUUUACUAUUUUUUUUUCUUUUUGGUCCUUGAUGAAAUUAAUGUGGGAAUGCAGUAUGAUGCCGGAUGCUAAAGUAGAUCAGUAGAUUAAUUUUAGUCUCUUAUGUAUGCAACAGAGUUCUGAACAGUCUUUGGGUGAGGCUGUCAUGCUGAAUAAUUUCUUUAUCCAUUGAUCUCUAUUCAAGACUUGAACUUCAGUAACUGGACAUCUCAACAUCAUAAAAUAGUCAAAACUUGAAAGGAGACAUUAAAUUACAAAAAAAAAAAAAAAAAGGAAAAAAAGUUAUACCUCUUUUCACUUUAAUUUCUUUCUUUCUUUCUUUUUUUCUUUAAUCUCACUAAAAAAAAUAUAUAUCAAAAUGUACUGUACUAUGAUUUUUAUUAACCAGUUCUUACAACUUGCAACUGAUUGUCUCAGCUUGAAUUUAUCUGUAGUAUACAGAAUUCUCUUGCCCAUUCACAAAGAAAAAGUAUUAUUUAGAGUAGUUCUCAUCCACAGCUUCCUCAUUACUGGAUUUAUGUGAAAAGCAGAUCUUAUUUCCCAUGGUUAUUCACACAGAAGUUUUCUUUUUAUGACUUGAAAAAUAGGGUUAUUCUUCUUUCCUUGAUACUUGAUGCUUUUAGUUUAUUCCUAUAGCAAAUAGAAGCAGAGGUUCUCCAGUUCCUAAGUGCUAUUGGUGCUUUUUAUGUGUAAUAACUGGACUUAACACAAAAAAUAAAUUUUUAUCCAGUUAUUUUAUGCCAAAAUCAACACUCUCCACAGUCUGUACAUAUACUGGUAUACUGGUAUUGCUUCUAUCUUGAUUCAGAGUACAGCCACCAUGUUAAUGAAGUGUUAGCAGAUAUGUAAGAAGUUAUCUAAGAAACAUUAUUUUAGUUUUUUGAAACUGCUCUGCAAAAACAUUUCUUUUCAGUUAGUAAUUGCUUAGAGCUUAUAAAGUUGAAUGAAAGAUAAAAUAGAUCUUCCUUUUUUUCAACUACUUAACACAACAAGCAUUCAUUUUUUCCCCUGGAUCUAAACUGGAACUUUUGAAGAAUCUGAUCUUACCUUUCACCCAGAAAGAGGAGGAGAGAUCAAAGAACUCUCUCUGUUACCUUCAGGCACUUGUAUGGUCAAGAAUAAGUUGGAACAAAUAUGGCAUUUGUGCUAAAUCUUCCAAUAAUAAUAAAUGUCACAUUAGAGAAGAGAUAUUUUGACAAUAUUUGAAAUACUAAAAUGAAAUAACCUUAUUAAACAUAUCUGUGAAGCUGCUUACAAACUCCAUGAGGAAAUUUUCUCUCUUUGCUAUAAAGAAAUAGUAAUGUUUGAAAAAUUGUCUGAUGUUGAAAUUCUUAUAUUAGGGCAUUCUGCAUAUAAAAAAGUGAUGACAUGACAGGCUUUUUCACAUUAUGGUUGUUUUCAAAAGAGGAACAGUAAUUUUAAAGUUAUUAAUUGUCUUUUGUUUCUUUACUGGCAAGUUUUCACAGGCAUUUAUUUCAACUAGCAAUGUAGUCAAUUUUUAUCUGUUUUAUGGUCUGAUAGAUGGAGGACGUACAAAUCAAAUAAACAUCAUUAAAGUAGCAUCAGCAUCUAAUCCAUUUAAAUAAAUAUACCCUACAUUUGCAGAUAUAACUCUUUGCAUUGCUGUAAGAAUAAUGGUAAAUAUGAAAAAUAUAAUAUCAAAACAAUAAUUUGUUUUUUUUACCAUAAUGCCAAACAGAGGUAUCCACUGAAAAUAGUGCUUGUAAAAUAACAAUGCUAAACAUGGAUUGUGAAAGGAGAGCCUUUUGAAAAUACUGAUUAAAAAAAAGAAUGAAUGAUAGAAAACUUUCUUUGCAUAAAAGAUGCAAUGUGUCUGUGAAAUAUGUAAGAAGAGAGGCAGGAUCAGAGGUUUGUCUAUGAGAAUAUGAUCAGCAUAAGAUACUUAGGCAGAGAUCCUCAAGAUGACAUCUUUGACAAAGCAUGUCAGUGUUUCCCAGUUUGGUUUUUGCCUCUAGACUAUGAAGGAAAUAGUUUUUCAGUAACAAAUAAUAGUAAAGCCCAUUGAGCUUCACUAUUGUAAUGACAGUUCUGAAGAAAAGUAGGCAUUGCAGAAGACAGAAAAGUGGUGAUCAGAAAGAAUAAUGCCAGUUUGUACAACUAUGGCAAAAGCUCCUUCAAAGCAGAGACAUCAAGGAGAUAGCAUGAACACAUUUGUUUUGAAUACCUAAAAUAAGAGAGGUUUCUUUGCACAACUUUGCUGAAAUGGAAUAUAGGAAGCCAAACAAAUAUUUAAAAAACCUGAUCAUAGCAACCUGAUGAAAAUUUUAUCAGAUGAGCAUAAUCUAUGAUCAUUUAGAGGGUAGAAUUUUGUAGAAUUUUGAAGGGAAAAAGCUGCUGAAGACAGAUCAAGUCAAAGAUGAGGUCUGUAACUACGCACCUGAAUAUAAGAUUUUAGCUAUGCGUUUCCUAUCUGUUACUACUAUGUCUACACUAAAUAUUGUCCAUCCACACAGUUAAGAAAUGGCCUGAAUUUUAAGUGAAAACAUAUGUCCAAUUACAGAAGGAAGAGUUUGUAAAAUAGGAAUUAAUUUGGUAUUUUUUUUUUCAAAAGUUGAUGUCUUAAUAUUUGGAAGUACAGAAUUUGCUGUUGUCUACCUUUCUUUGAAUUAUAAACUCCUCUCUAGUUCCAUGAAUCUGAUUGGGUAGAAAGUUGAAUAAGUUCACUUCAUACUUUUGAUCACUGAUCUCGUCAGUACCUUCUCUGCUUGUACUAUUCUAAUUUGAAUGGGCCAAAAAAGACUUAAGACAUGGGAUAAAAGCUUAAGAAACUUCAAGAACUUAAUUGUGGAAAUACACCAUGAAUGUUUGUGCAAAAUUUGUCACAGAGGUGCAGCCACUUUGGUGAUGAAGGACAUUUUUCACUACAGUGAGAAAGGCUCUGUGGUUAUGCUAUACCAUUAGUCAGCAAGAAUAUUGUGUAAGGUAUGAAGGAGAGGAGGGAGCUCUGGUUUUGGUAGUCUUUUAUUGAAGGGACUGAAGGAUUUGUUAGUCAGACCAUGUUUCAUUUUGGAAGGACUAUUCAUGUAUGGAGGGCAAAGUAGAACUGUUAGUGCAGAACUUAAUUAGUGUUUGUGGGUGAUUUUUUGUAGAAGUGAAACAGAGAUAUAAGGAAAUAGGGCCAAGGAAGGAGUCCUGUGGAGCAAAGGCGGGGAGAGAGGUGUGGGAUACUGUAGGAACCAUAUUCCAAAAAGGUUAUGGAAGAACAUUUUAUGAAAGGGACAGCUUGGAGAAAAUGAAGCUGCCUCACUUUCAAAUAGCUGGAGACUGUGGAGAUACUUGCAUAUAUAUGUGUGACACAACAAUAAUUUUGUGAUGACAGUGAUUGAUUUAUUUUUUGAUUUUGACAAUUGAUUUUUAAGACUGACCAUCAAAUCAUUACAUAUGUGCACAUAUUAGAUUUUGUAUCUGUAUCUGUAAAUAUGCAUAAGCAGCACUGCAUAGGACUUAAAAUCUAGCUCCAGAUGUUAUGUAUUUUUUGUUUUCUACUCAUAAACUAAAAUGAAUGACAGAGACAUUUAUACACAGUCCCAAAAAACAUUCGUGCUGGCAAUUCCUUCCUUGGACAAUAAUGAUAAAUACUCUCUACUUCAUAUGAGAUCAGGAAAUCACUUGCCUUUAAGCCAUCCAAUCUAAGGGUAUUAAUUAUGUAUUACAUCUCAUGAACCUUCUAAAUUUAGAUAGCCUUGCAGGGAUUGGUGUGAUUUAUUAAUAUACUGACAAAUAAUUAGCUGAGGAAUCUAUCAUGUAUAUUUCAUCUGUAGCCUGAAACUUCAACCUCUACCUCUUGGGAACAUGAAAAAUCUAUUAGUCUGUCUAUCACUUCACCAGUUACUGAAGACUGAUUCUUUUCGCCAUUUUGUAUAGCUAAAAUACAACAAGGAAAACUGAUGUUCUGUUGUAUAAAAGUGAUGUUUCAGCACCCCUGAAACUGAUGGUGUAAGUAAUCAUACAUAAGAGUGAAGGAUGCUUCUGAACCAAAGCAAUUAAAGGCUCUUAAUAAAUGGAAGGCUUGAUUAAGCACCUGGUUAUGGUUACUGACAAAUAAUGCACUUACCAAUGCUGGUUUAACUGCUGUUAUGGGAACAAAGGAAGCUGUUUUCAGCACUAUAGCCUAAAGACUUCUGACUGUUUUUACUUUAGCAGAUAUUAAAAGGGUUGCAACUCAACUUCAUUAGCAUUGUUUUGAACAAAGAUUAUGGAGAAUAGAAAUUGAAGAUUAGAUUUCUGAAGUAAUUUUGGUAGAGUAGAAAGACUCCUUAAGUAGAAAUAAUUAGCCACUCUGCAAGCUACUUAUUAAAGAUAUCAGGGUGCACAAAAACUCAUGCAUGCCAACACUGAAGAAACAAUGAAAAUUUUAAAUUCCUAUGUGAAAAGAAUAUGAACAUCGCAAAGUUGAUUACCAACAGUCAGAAAACACAGAGCUAUUCUUGCUUUUGUGGCCUGCAAAGUGUGUGUUUCACUGUUAACAUUGUAAUAUCUUCCAUUCUUUUUUUCUUACUGUUCACACUUCUUGGAGUAUGAAGGACAAUACACUCCACUAUACAACCUCUUUUGUCUGCACUUGUAUUGUCUGACUUAGUCCUGUCUCAUCUCCCUUACCUCUUCUCUCUAGAAAAUAUAUUACAGCUGUCUGUCAUUAUGUGACUUCCAUUUGCUUCCAUCAUUGAGAACUAUCUAGAAAACCAUACUUAGUCUUUUAACACCAAAUUACAGCAUACAGUAUCUCUCUGCAGGGAUGCAGAUGCCUGAUGUCUAGGAGUUCUAAGCAUGUGGAACAUGCUCAGUAAAACUAGGAGCUUCAUCCUAGCUCCCUGCCGAGCUCUUGAUAGUCAAUCCAGAGAACACAUGCAGAUAAGUUCUUCGAGCUCAUAACUUGAAUGAGUACUACUUGCAUCUUAGGUAUACUUACAUUAAACUGUAUAUUUAUAAAAACAGAUCUCUUACCAGGCUCAUGCAGUUUCAGGAAAGAAUGACAGUACAAAUUUAGAAAAAAGCCACAUGUGAAGGAACUAGUAUGAGAGAUGACUCUAAGUGAUUAGUAAAAUGGCAGAGGGGAACAAAAGAUUUUCACUGAUAGUUAUUCCUCUCUCAUCCCUCUAAAACUCCUUCAAUUCUCAUGCUCACAAUAGUUACUAGUGACCUUUUUCCACCGCCAUUUUCCAAGCUGCAAAUUUCCUAUAGUUGACUGCGGCAGCUCUAAAUCCAGAUGGUAGGUUUUGAAAUCCUGGUUCUCAUUUGUACUCCAACAAAGUAAUUAGCAUCCCCUUGCAGCAAAGCACUGUAAAUAAAAUAAAAUUUCUCUCUUCACACUGUGUCAGCUAUUGCUGCUUGGUCAGAGUCACUGUCAGUAAGUAUUCAGACCAUCAUAGAAGGGACAAACGACAUUUGUUGUUUUCAAACCAAAGUUAAAAGGCUCUGAUGAACUUCCUCACAGUGUUGCAAAACAAACAAACAACAACAACAAAACACCAAAAAAACCCACCACCACUUCCAAAUGCCCUUAACUACUGGAAACUGGAUCUGGACUGCUACUAAUGGUCAUGAGUAACAGAUAUUACCUCCUAAAGAAUAGUGAGAACUACUUUAAACUUUUCUGUGAAACAAAUGAGCACAAGUUUGGGAUUUGACAGUAAUUUAUCUUCUCUUUUCUUGAGAAUUCUUUAAAUGAUUUCAAAGCCAUUUAAAAGUGCUCAGUUUCAUUUUGCUGUUGGUAUACUUGUCCUGUUCAUUCACCAUUCUCUACUUCUUUUUUUUGGAAAAAAAGAAAAAAAAAAAAAAGGAAAAAAAAAGUUGUGGUAAACAAUUUCUAUUGGAAUGUACAAAUUGUGUUGCUUUUUGUUUUUAUUUUUUUUAUGACAGCUAAUAUUUGAAAACUUACCAAUGGAUAGAUAUUAAUAACACUGUAUCUUGGGAGGAGAGUUGAAAUUAAUUUGCCUUCACUAUUUGCUAUAUAAAACAAACUAGGAGCAUUUCAUAGCCCCCUACAUGCAGCAUAGGCUUCAGAAUAUGUUUACUGUCAUGUGUACUAAUACAAUUGCUGUUAGCUCAGAGAACCUGUUAGCAUUUUAUAACCUAUUUUAUUAUUAUUAUUAUUAUUUAUUAUUAUUAAUAAUAAGGUUAGA
ensembl:lncRNA